UACGGGGGGAGCAAGCGUUGUUCGGAUUUACUGGGCGUAAAGGGCGCGUAGGCGGCCUCUGCAAGUCGACUGUGAAAUCUCCGGGCUUAACCCGGAAAGGUCAGCCGAUACUGCAGGGCUAGAGUGCAGAAGGGGCAACUGGAAUUCUCGGUGUAGCGGUGAAAUGCGUAGAGAUGUGGAGGAACACCAAUGGCGAAGGCAGCCUUCUGGGCCAACACUGACGCUCAUGCACGAAAGCGUGGGGAGCAAACAGG
rnacentral:rRNA from 1 species